rnacentral:rRNA from 1 species
AUUGAACGCUGGCGGCAUGCUUUACACAUGCAAGUCGAACGGUAACGGGCCUUCGGGCGCUGACGAGUGGCGAACGGGUGAGUAAUGCAUCGGAACGUGCCCAGAGGUGGGGGAUAACGCAGCGAAAGCUGUGCUAAUACCGCAUAUUAUCUGAGGAUGAAAGCGGGGGACUAAGCAGCAAUGUUUGGCCUCGCGCCUUUGGAGCGGCCGAUGUCAGAUUAGGUAGUUGGUGGGGUAAAGGCCUACCAAGCCGACGAUCUGUAGCUGGUCUGAGAGGACGACCAGCCACACUGGGACUGAGACACGGCCCAGACUCCUACGGGAGGCAGCAGUGGGGAAUUUUGGACAAUGGGCGCAAGCCUGAUCCAGCAAUGCCGCGUGCAGGAAGAAGGCCUUCGGGUUGUAAACUGCUUUUGUACGGAACGAAAAGGCUCUGGUUAAUACCUGGGGCUCAUGACGGUACCGUAAGAAUAAGCACCGGCUAACUACGUG